GUGACCUGAGUGCCCGCAGCUCACAGCACGGCCCCGCAACCGUCCUAUCACAGUAUCUCCCCAGGUUUGGGACAAGGGUAAUUGACUCUUGGUAAGCAUCCAGUUUCCCUGAUUGGAGCAGCUGUGAGCCUCGGAGGGACGAGGGCAUUGGUCAGCGGGUUUUACAGAGGAAAGGAAGACCACUGGUUAGCACAGCAAGACGGGUAAGUGGAGAGAUGUGUACAAUCAGCUGUUGUGACGCAUAAGGGGCAGCUCCAGGACACACUGGGUAAGAGCAUACCUUUGGCCAUGGCCAUGAGAGAUCUCUGCAAAUGGACCAUGAAGCAAGAGAAGAGGCUCUCAAGAAUCUCCAGGAGCAUAAAGACGAAAAAGAACUGGGGCCGGAGACAAGUGCUUUGCCAAAGCUCUCCCGCCAUCCGUAGUUGAGAUGGUUCCAGGUUCUCAGCCCUAGGACAUGUGGUUGGGCUGUUCAUCCAGGCAAAGGCCAAGUCUUCUGGGAACCAACCAACUGGAAGGUGGGACCAUCCAAGAUGGCAGCCCUGGACUCCCGGAGCAAGAGAGGUUCAGCUCUGAUGGGGAAAGGCUCAAAGCAAACACUUAUGGGGAAAUGCCAAGCAUCUUGCUGGCAACACAGCGCUGGGCAAGGACGCUGAUUUCACAGCUAGUGUCACAUUCCAGAGCAGUACCUCUGAGAUACGUGGAGACCGCAUGUCCAGCCCAAAAGCUAACAGAGGGCCCUGGUGGGGACUUCCACAAACCUAUGGCUUCCUCACUGGCCAUUUCCUUUAUACUCACUUGCUCUGCUUAUUAAUGAACAUGGCUGGGGAAACCUGGGCCACAUGGGGAGCCUAUGUAACGAGAGACCUCAUUUGCAUCACCAAAUCUUGGUUGCCCAUAAUCAUUUCGGCAUCAGUGUGGGAUAUAAAUUAAUAUUUAGAAAAAAAUUUAAAGUAAGAUAAAAUUUAAACCAAAUAUUAAUAUCUAGAUUAAAAUUUAAAAUUCCCUUUAGGAUCUGACCAGCUCUAAUUAUCUCUAUACCCCACCUCCUUCCCAAUCUCUGCUCAUCUUAGGUUUCCGAUAUGCUUACCCUGCUGAGGGGCAGACAGCUGGCAACAACCUUGGAACAAGGUCAAGGGCAGGCAAGGAGAGGGGUUGGUGCUUCCAAGUCCAAGGGUUGUGCUUAAGGUAUGGUAUCAAGCUACACAGACCUAUGUGGGAUCACCAGCACGUGAAAAAGAUGACCUCAGGGUCCACCUUGGCUGAAGAGAGAGAUUUGUUUGACCACCCUGUCCCGGAAAGCCCGAUUGUCAAGUGAUUUACCAGAUCUGAAUGUGCGUGAGAGAAUUUCUGGCUGUCUUUGUUUGACGGAGGUGAUUCGUUUUCCGGACUAAUUGCCAGUCUCUACACUGACACAAACAUAUACACACGUACUGAGCAGUGUCUUAACAAAAGCUUGGCCCAUCCAUCAGAGUUGAGCGUGUUCUUGGAGGGCUAACUGACCAUGCAUAAAUUUCCUAUUGAAAAUUAUAGCAAAAGAUGGAGAAGAGAAGAAGAUAGUUUUUGCAAUGAAAAAUUAAACCAAAGGAUGCUUCUUCGGGGAAGGUGGGGAGGGUCGGGGUGGAGGAAGAGCUAAUAGUCAUAUUUCCAGUCUUUGUAAGAGAUAAAUGCAGAAAUACAGAUUCAGAAAUGUUUCCAGAUUAGCGUUCAAGGCCCUCCCAAAUAUUGUCCUAUUAUAACCUUCUCCCCCAUGGCUCCUGACAUGAUCCAACCAGACAGGUUGUGUUCUGUUUCUGGAAGAUGCUUUUAUCCUGUGCCUUGGAUUUCUCUUUUUCCACUACUUCUCUUGUUGCUGAAAUACCUUUCAAGGCUUGAGUGUUUCCUCAGCCAUUUCAUAUUUUCCUUCCAAUCUCAUUUUGUUUAUACAUCUCUCAUGAGCUUGAAUUUCAUCUUUCAUUGUAGCUACAUUGGGCAGCCCUCUCCACAUCUGGAAGAUGGGAAUGGUAAAUGGUGUUUCAUCCUGCAUCUUCAGGUCCAGUAUUCUCCGUGAGGA